rnacentral:lncRNA from 1 species
UACAUAUUUUAAGCUGGAAACCAGACAUUUGCUGUAGUUCAGCAGUGUCUGACCUGUCUUUAUCUAGCAGUAUAUUUAAAGGUUACUGCCUGAAAUACGAGAAUAGCAAAGAGGCUGGAGCUUAAACUUUUGUGUGCUUUGUUUAGCUUGAAGAAGCAAACAGCAUGCUAACCAAAGAUAUUGAAAUAUUAAGAAGAGAGAAUGAAGAGCUAACAGAGAAAAUGAAGAAGGCAGAGGAAGAAUAUAAACUGGAGAAGGAGGAGGAGAUCAGUAAUCUUAAGGCUGCCUUUGAAAAGAAUAUCAACACUGAACGAACCCUUAAAACACAGGUAUACAUGCUUUCGAUCUUUUCCACAUGUUCAUUUUUGAGUUAAUCAUUGCUCUUUAUGCACUUUUUCCUAAAACCAAGGCUUAUAAGGUUCAAGCUUUUCAUCAGAACAAAUAAAUUCUCUCCCCGCUAACUAUAAAAAACUUAUUUGUGAAAUAGAAUUUCAAGGCCAGGCGCGGUGGCUCAUGCCUGUAAUCCCAACACUUUAGGAGGCUGAGGCCAGCAGAACACUUAAGGCCAGGAGUUCGAGAGCAGCCUGGCUGACAUCGAAACCCCAGUCUCUACUAA